rnacentral:rRNA from 1 species
AUUGAACGCUGGCGGCAUGCCUUACACAUGCAAGUCGAACGGCAGCACGGGUGCUUGCACCUGGUGGCGAGUGGCAAACGGGUGAGUAAUACAUCGGAACAUGUCCUGUAGUGGGGGAUAGCCCGGCGAAAGCCGGAUUAAUACCGCAUACGAUCUACGGAUGAAAGCGGGGGACCUUCGGGCCUCGCGCUAUCGGGUUGGCCGAUGGCUGAUUAGCUAGUUGGUGGGGUAAAGGCCUACCAAGGCGACGAUCAGUAGCUGGUCUGAGAGGACGACCAGCCACACUGGGACUGAGACACGGCCCAGACUCCUACGGGAGGCAGCAGUGGGGAAUUUUGGACAAAGGGCGAAAGCCUGAUCCAGCAAUGCCGCGUGUGUGAAGAAGGCCUUCGGGUUGUAAAGCACUUUUGUCCGGAAAGAAAUCCUUGGCCCUAAUACGGUCGGGGGAUGACGGUACCGGAAGAAUAAGCACCGGCUAACUACGUG